rnacentral:rRNA from 1 species
GGUUCGAUUAUGGCUCAGAUUGAACGCUGGCGGGAUGCUUUACACAUGCCGUCGAACGGCAGCCUGGACUUCGGUCUGGUGGCGAGAGUGGCGAACCUGGUGAAAUGUCAUAUCGGAACGUGCCUAUCAGCGGGGGAUAACGCCUACGCGCGAAAGCGUAGCUAAUACACAUACGCCCUUCGGGGAAAAGCGGGGACCUUCGGGCACUCGCACUAUUAGAGCGGCCGAUAUCGGAUUAGCUGGUUGGUGGGGUAACGGCUCGCAAGGCGACGAUCCGUAGCUGGUUUGAAGGACGACCAGCCCGCUGGGACGAGACCUGGCCUUGGAAGACUCCUGCGGAGGCAGCGGUGGAGGGCGUUUGGACAAUGGGGAAACCCUGAUCCGAGCCAUCCCGCGUGUGCGCGAUGAAGGCCUUCGGGUUGUAAAAGCACUUUUGGCGAAAACGGCACGGGAUAGCCCACUGACGGAAGUACCUGCAGAAUAAGCACCGGCUAACUACGUGCCAACGAGCACGGUAAUACGUAGGGUGCAAGCGUUAAUCAGUACUGGGCGCUAAAGCGUGCGCAGGCGGUUCGGAAGAAAGAUGUGAAAUCGAAGCUUGCGGAACUGCAUUUUUAACUACCGAGCUAGGUGUGUCAGAAGGGAGAGUGGAAUUCCGCGUGUAGCAGCAGUAAGUACGUAGAUAUGCAGAGACACCGAUGGCGAGAGCAGCCUCCUGGGAUAACACUGACGCUCAUGCACAGCAGUAAGAACGAAACGGGAUUAGAUACCCUGGUAGUCCACGCCCUAAACAGUAUCAACUAGCUGUUGGGGCCUUCGGGCCCUGGUAGCGCAGCUAACGCGUGGGAAGUUGACCGCCUGGGAAGUACGGUCGCAAGAUUAGCGACUCAAAGGAAUUGACGGCAGGGACCCGCACAAGCGGUGGAUGAAGGUGACAGGAUUAAUUCGAUGCAACGCGAAAAACCUUAUACCUACCCUUGACAUGUCUGGAAUCGAAGAGAUUUGGGAGUGCUCGCAAGAGAACCGGAACACAGGUGCUGCAUGGCUGUGUCAGCUCGUGUCGUGAGAUGUUGGGUUAGAACCGCAACGAGCGCAACCCUUGACCAUUAGUUGCUACGAAGGGCACUCUAAUGGAACUGCCGGUGACAAACCGGAGGAAGGUGGGGAUGACGUCAAAUCCUGGCGGCCCUUAUGGGCGAGAGCACACGUCAUGCAAAUGGUCGGGUCGCCAACCGCAAGGAGGGGGCGAAUCCCGGAAACCCCGAUCGUAGUCCGGAUCGCAGUCUGACUCGGCUGCGUGAAGUCGAAUCGCUAGUAAUCGCGGAUCAGCAUCAUCGAGCCCGGUGAAUACGUUCCCAGGUCUUGUACCUGCCCGUCUUUUUCAUAAAUUAUGGGUUUACCGAUGGUCGCGGCUAACAGGAGGGCGAUUACCUGCGGUAGGAUUCAUGACUGGUGCAGUCGUGGCUCAGGGCAGC